ACAACUAUACAAUACACACCGAUCAGCUCUAACAUAGGAGAAGUUGAACAUCAAGUUGAAAAUAUAUAAGUGUUAAAUUAAUAAUAUAAUAAGUGUUUAGUUAAUUAUUGAUAAAUUCACUUGUACUGUUUUUUUGUCAGUACAGUACAACCAUAUCAACCAGUGGGACCAAGUUGCGGCAUUCGGAGUCGAUCCAGCUGCGAUUGUAGGACUUAUUCAUUAGAGCCAGAGUCGGAAGUUGUGACAAUUUUGUUCGCACGAAACACCACAGUAGUGGAACUCGCCCAACAACAAAAUAUUAAGUGGACUAUCUGUCAAAAUCAGUAAUUAGUGCAGUACUGAUUCGGUGUAUGUUACUAGUUCCCGCCAUGUUUCGUUGUUUGUGUGUUGUAUGAUUCUUAACUAUAAUACAUAAACGCAAGCAAAACUCGUUGACAUUUAGUACACUUCGCGAGAAAAAUUUUACUCAUCUGUUUACGGUACAUACCUGGUAGUGCACUCUGAGCGACAUCAUUAACGCAGCAGCCGCUCGCUUUAUACCAGCCGGUCGAAUACCCCAAGUGCGGCCCAAUUUUCCGGCACAGGCAGUGGUACUCGCAGACGAUCGUCAUGGAAUUCGUUGUAAGGACCCACUAAUCCCAGCCCAGUAGUCAACGAACAUAGGCGGAAUUUGUGGCUAGAACACUUGGAACAAUGUGAUUUAGGCAAGCUGUGGUCUACUGUUAAGUCACUCUCUCUGAUAUCUCCGGCACUGUUUAACCUCUACCUACCCUCCAUUCAACCCCAUCCAGACGGCAUAGACAAGCAAGAUUAAAAUCUGACCAAAUUUAUUCAUGUUUCAUAUACAUAUAUCGUCCAUUAACUGCAUAGAAUUAGUGGUGUAGGGUAUUAUAUAGUCGGCUUCGCCCAAAUUUUCUUUCCUUACUGGUUUUUAUAUUUAUUUUAUUGAAAUUAAAGUGUUUUUAAAUGUGUUUCGUUUUCCAA